GGACGAUGACAACUAAAUUGAUAUUGACGUUCGUCGUAAUGGUGUUCAAAUGAUACACCUUGCCGACCAAGCUGAUAUGUCACCACCCAUAAACUGAGUCC
rnacentral:snoRNA from 1 species